rnacentral:rRNA from 1 species
UACGGAGGGUGCGAGCGUUAAUCGGAAUUACUGGGCGUAAAGCGCACGCGGGNGGUUAGUUAAGCUAGAUGUGAAAGCCACGGGCUCAACCUGGGAUGGUCAUUUAGAACUGGCAGACUAGAGUCUUGGAGAGGGGAGUGGAAUUCCAGGUGUAGCGGUGAAAUGCGUAGAUAUCUGNAGGAACAUCAGUGGCGAAGGCGACUNCCUGGCCAAAGACUGACGCUCANGUGCGAAAGUGUGGGUAGCGAACAGG